AGCAGCCGCGGUAAUUCCAGCUCCAAUAGCGUAUAUUAAAGUUGUUGCAGUUAAAAGCUCGUAGUUGAAUUUCGGGAUCAAUUUAUUGGUCGUGCAGUAGUACGUACUGGUAUUAUUGGUUCCUACCUUCUGAUGAACCAUGAUGUCAUUAAUUUGGUGUUAUGGGGAAUCGGGACUGUUACUUUGAAAAAUUGAGUGUUUAAAGCAGGCUCACGCUUGAAUACAUUAGCAUGGAAUAAUGAAAUAGGACGUUUGAUUCUAUUUUGUUGGUUUCUAGGAUCGACGUAAUGAUUAAUAGGGAUAGUUGGGGGCAUUAGUAUUCAAUUGUCAGAGGUGAAAUUCUUGGAUUU
rnacentral:misc_RNA from 1 species